rnacentral:rRNA from 1 species
GGGUUGUGAGGUUAAGCGACUAAGCGUACACGGUGGAUGCCCUGGCAGUCAGAGGCGAUGAAGGACGUGCUAAUCUGCGAAAAGCGCCGGCGAGGUGAUAUGAACCCUUGACCCGGCGAUGUCCGAAUGGGGAAACCCAGUGCAAUCCGUUGCACUAUCGUUAACUGAAUACAUAGGUUAACGAGGCGAACCGGGGGAACUGAAACAUCUAAGUACCCCGAGGAAAAGAAAUCAACCGAGAUUCCCCCAGUAGCGGCGAGCGAACGGGGAGCAGCCCGGAGUCUGAAUCAGCUUGUGUGUUAGUGGAACGGUCUGGAAAGUCCGACGGUACAGGGUGAUAGUCCCGUACACGAAAAUGCACAUGCUGUGAACUCGAAGAGUAGGGCGGGACACGUGGUAUCCUGUCUGAAUAUGGGGGGACCAUCCUCCAAGGCUAAAUACUCCUGACUGACCGAUAGUGAACCAGUACCGUGAGGGAAAGGCGAAAAGAACCCCGGCGAGGGGAGUGAAAAAGAACCUGAAACCGUGUACGUACAAGCAGUGGGAGCCUCUUUAUGGGGUGACUGCGUACCUUUUGUAUAAUGGGUCAGCGACUUAUAUUCUGUAGCAAGGUUAACCGUAUAGGGGAGCCGAAGGGAAACCGAGUCUUAACUGGGCGUUAAGUUGCAGGGUAUAGACCCGAAACCCGGUGAUCUAGCCAUGGGCAGGUUGAAGGUUGGGUAACACUAACUGGAGGACCGAACCGACUAAUGUUGAAAAAUUAGCGGAUGACCUGUGGCUGGGGGUGAAAGGCCAAUCAAACCGGGAGAUAGCUGGUUCUCCCCGAAAGCUAUUUAGGUAGCGCCUCGUGAAUUCAUCUUCGGGGGUAGAGCACUGUUUCGGCUAGGGGGCCAUCCCGGCUUACCAACCCGAUGCAAACUACGAAUACCGAAGAAUGUUAUCACGGGAGACACACGGCGGGUGCUAACGUCCGUCGUGAAGAGGGAAACAACCCAGACCGCCAGCUAAGGUCCCAAAGUCAUGGUUAAGUGGGAAACGAUGUGGGAAGGCACAGACAGCCAGGAUGUUGGCUUAGAAGCAGCCAUCAUUUAAAGAAAGCGUAAUAGCUCACUGGUCGAGUCGGCCUGCGCGGAAGAUGUAACGGGGCUAAACCAUGCACCGAAGCUGCGGCAGCGACACUAUGUGUUGUUGGGUAGGGGAGCGUUCUGUAAGCCGUUGAAGGUGUGCUGUGAGGCAUGCUGGAGGUAUCAGAAGUGCGAAUGCUGACAUAAGUAACGAUAAAGCGGGUGAAAAGCCCGCUCGCCGGAAGACCAAGGGUUCCUGUCCAACGUUAAUCGGGGCAGGGUGAGUCGACCCCUAAGGCGAGGCCGAAAGGCGUAGUCGAUGGGAAACAGGUUAAUAUUCCUGUACUUGGUGUUACUGCGAAGGGGGGACGGAGAAGGCUAUGUCAGCCGGGCGACGGUUGUCCCGGUUUAAGCAUGUAGGCGGAGGUUCCAGGUAAAUCCGGUACCUUUUAACGCUGAGGUGUGAUGACGAGGCACUACGGUGCUGAAGUGAUAAAUGCCCUGCUUCCAGGAAAAGCCUCUAAGCAUCAGGUAACACGAAAUCGUACCCCAAACCGACACAGGUGGUCAGGUAGAGAAUACCAAGGCGCUUGAGAGAACUCGGGUGAAGGAACUAGGCAAAAUGGUGCCGUAACUUCGGGAGAAGGCACGCUGAUGUGUAGGUGAAGCCCCUGCGGGCGGAGCUGAAAUCAGUCGAAGAUACCAGCUGGCUGCAACUGUUUAUUAAAAACACAGCACUGUGCAAACACGAAAGUGGACGUAUACGGUGUGACGCCUGCCCGGUGCCGGAAGGUUAAUUGAUGGGGUUAGCGGCAACGCGAAGCUCUUGAUCGAAGCCCCGGUAAACGGCGGCCGUAACUAUAACGGUCCUAAGGUAGCGAAAUUCCUUGUCGGGUAAGUUCCGACCUGCACGAAUGGCGUAAUGAUGGCCAGGCUGUCUCCACCCGAGACUCAGUGAAAUUGAACUCGCUGUGAAGAUGCAGUGUACCCGCGGCAAGACGGAAAGACCCCGUGAACCUUUACUAUAGCUUGACACUGAACACUGGUCCUUGAUGUGUAGGAUAGGUGGGAGGCUUUGAAGCGUGGACGCCAGUCUGCGUGGAGCCAACCUUGAAAUACCACCCUUUAAUGGCUGGUGUUCUAACGUGGACCCGUUACCCGGGUUGCGGACAGUGUCUGGUGGGUAGUUUGACUGGGGCGGUCUCCUCCCAAAGAGUAACGGAGGAGCACGAAGG